GGGAGGCCUAGGAAACAACCCGGCGUAUAGUGAUGACGCACAAGUAUGUGGACUUUACCAAUUGGCUACGCGGAGCGAAAAUAGACAGAUGGGCGGAGAAAGAGGCGACACUUCCAGGGAACCAAACAGUAACCGCCAACUUGUUCCAUAACAAGAGCCUCCUAUAAGUCACUUGAACUCACACCCUGGGCUAGAAGACUCCAGAUCUUCUAGCAAGUGAGGGAAGCCGCAGGUACACAAGUGUAAGUUGUGAGCUGCCUUGCUGCUAGUGGAGAAGGACAGGAAGUCAAGAAGGCCAAGUCAGGACCUGGGGACCUAAAGGAUGGAGAGAGCCACAGACACGCCUAAUGCAGAGUGGGAAGCUAGAGGAGACAACUGCGAGACUGCCUCUGUCUUCAUGAGUCUGUGACACAAUGAGGACCAGUCACAGCCGCACUUCCAUCUUCCUUCAUGGUGUGGAGCCCGGGGAGCUACAAGAGCCCAGCCUGUAUAAGCUAUGAGAGAAAGCCUUUCUUCCACAACGCCUCAGAGGACCACCAGGCAGCAGUGGGGACAGUAACAAAGACCUGCUGACAGCCGUACUUUUCCAGAACGCCCACCACCAUGGGUUGUCUUCUCCCUUGGUUGAGAUACAAAUGGUGCCCUCAAUGCCCGAAACCCAGACCUAGCCAAAUCUUUACUCCCACACUAUGACUAAACUUCCUGGCUGCUACUGAAACCACAACUUCCAGUGUGAAUCUGCCCAAAUGAAUACAAAGCUGCAGGAGAAAAUAGAGCAAGCUCUCCCAGACCUGCAAAGGGGACUGGAGUGGCCUCUGGAACAGCCAUACUCAAACCUAUACAGAUGGUAAAGAUGGUGGGUGGCUUUUGAACCUUCCAAUGUGAUUUGAGACUAUUCCAAAGUUCUUUCUUGCAAGAAUUAGAGAUUUCUUUCUGGAAGUUCACAACACUAGAACUGAACAGCCACCCAGGGGGUAAAAAAGUA